AUUUCAUCUACUGUGCAUACAGAUUUCUUCUAAUGGUCUUUGUUUCAUUACUCCCCGUGUUUCAGUGCUCUUUGUUUCAGGCGAUCCCUUUGUUUUGCAGAAGAUGCUUUAGAGAUUAAGGAGAGUUGCAAGAGGCUAAUGGGUCAAUUAGCAAAGUUAAGACUUGACCAUGCUCGUACAGGUAACACACUAAGUAGUUGCAAUGACCUAACCCAUAAUUCUAUAGAUGCGUCUGACUAGAUGUCAUGUGGAAGCACUAAAGAUGGAAGUAGUAAAGUGAACAACCCCUUGGUGGUAAGAAGCAAAGGGAGGCCACCAUCAAAGUGUAAAGUGUCUAUAGUGGAAAAAGCGGUUAAUAAAUGUAAAGUGAGAAAUAAAAGAAAUCAGCAGUCUCUGUCAAAGUCAUCUGAUGCUACAAACACAAGAGAUAAUCUAACCCAAUAGUCUCUGUUGUCGCAUCAGGACACGAUUGGUGUUACCAGGGUAAUAACACUAAACUAACUCUCAAGGGUCAUCUAACUAUGUUGUAUUUUGUGUUUUAUAAGAGUUAA